rnacentral:rRNA from 1 species
UACGUAGGGCGCAAGCGUUGUCCGGAAUUAUUGGGCGUAAAGAGCUCGUAGGCGGUUUGUUACGUCCGCUGUGAAAACCCAGGGCUUAACCCUGGGCUUGCAGUGGGUACGGGCAGACUAGAGUGCGGUAGGGGAGACUGGAAUUCCUGGUGUAGCGGUGAAAUGCGCAGAUAUCAGGAGGAACACCGGUGGCGAAGGCGGGUCUCUGGGCCGUAACUGACGCUGAGGAGCGAAAGCGUGGGGAGCGAACAGG